GAUGAAGAACGUAGCGAAUUGCGAUAAGUAAUGUGAAUUGCAGAAUUCAGUGAAUCAUCGAGUCUUUGAACGCACAUUGCGCCCCCUGGUAUUCCGGGGGGCAUGCCUGUCCGAGCGUCAUUGCUGCCCUCAAGCACGGCUUGUGUGUUGGGCCCCCGUCCCCGGUUUCCCCCGGGGACGGGCCCGAAAGGCAGCGGCGGCACCGCGUCCGGUCCUCGAGCGUAUGGGGCUUUGUCACCCGCUCUGUAGGCCCGGCCGGCGCCAGCCGACACCCAACUUUAUUUCUAAGGUUGACCUCGGAUCAGGUAGGGAUACCCGCUGAACUUAAGCAUAUCAAUAAGCGGAGGA
rnacentral:misc_RNA from 1 species